rnacentral:rRNA from 1 species
AUUGAACGCUGGCGGCAGGCCUAACACAUGCAAGUCGAGCGAGCGGCGGACGGGUGAGUAAUGUCUGGGGAACUGCCCGAUGGAGGGGGAUAACUACUGGAAACGGUAGCUAAUACCGCAUACCAUCGGAUGUACCCAUAUGGGAUUAGCUAGUAGGUGGGGUAAUGGCUCACCUAGGCGACGAUCCCUAGCUGGUCUGAGAAGAUGAUCAGCCACACUGGAACUGAGACACGGCCCAGACUCCUACGGGAGGCAGCAGUGGGGAAUAUUGCACAAUGGGCGCAAGCCUGAUGCAGCCAUGCCGCGUGUAUGAAGAAGGCCUUAGGGUUGUAAAGUACUUUCAGCGAGGAGGCGUUACCCGCAGAAGAAGCACCGGCUAACUCCGUGCCAGCAGCCGCGGUAAUAC